GAUGAACGCUGGCGGCGUGCCUAAUACAUGCAAGUCGAACGAAACUUCUUUAUCACCGAGUGCUUGCACUCACCGAUAAAGAGUUGAGUGGCGAACGGGUGAGUAAUACGUGGGCAACCUGCCCAAAAGAGGGGGAUAACACUUGGAAACAGGUGCUAAUACCGCAUAACCAUAGUUACCGCAUGGUAACUAUGUAAAAGGUGGCUAUACUACCGCUUUUGGAUGGGCCCGCGGCGCAUUAGCUAGUUGGUAGGGUAAAGGCUUACCAAGGCAAUGAUGCGUAGCCGAAUUGAGAGGUUGAUCGGCCACAUUGGGACUGAGACACGGCCCAAACUCCUACGGGAGGCAGCAGUAGGGAAUCUUCCACAAUGGGCGAAAGCCUGAUGGAGCAACGCCGCGUGGGUGAAGAAGGUCUUCGGAUCGUAAAACCCUGUUGUUAGAGAAGAAAGUGCGUGAGAGUAACUGUUCACGUUUCGACGGUAUCUAACCAGAAAGCCACUGCUAACUACGUG
rnacentral:rRNA from 1 species